UGGGGAAUAUUGGACAAUGGGGGAAACCCUGAUCCAGCGAUGUCGCGUGUGCGAAGAAGGCCUGCGGGUUGUAAAGCACUUUAGUUGGGGAAGAAAGGCGGUUAGUAAAUAGCUAAUUGAAUUGACGUUACCCAAAGAAUAAGCACCGGCUAACCCUGUGCCAGCAGCCGCGGUAAUACAGAGGGUGCGAGCGUUAAUCGGAAUUACUGGGCGUAAAGGGCGCGUAGGCGGUUAUAUAAGUUAGAUGUGAAAUCCCCGAGCUCAACUUGGGAACUGCAUAUAAUACUGUAUGGCUAGAGUAGAAUAGAGGGGAGUGGAAUUUCCGGUGUAGCGGUGAAAUGCGUAGAUAUCGGAAAGAACACCAGUGGCGAAGGCGACUUCCUGGAUUCAUACUGACGCUGAGGCGCGAAAGCAUGGGGAGCAAACAGG
rnacentral:rRNA from 1 species